AAAUAAAAGGGGGAUGAAGCUCUCCCGGAAAAAUUCCAAAUGCUUCUAAUUACGGAGAUGAUGGCUUCUACAGAAAA
rnacentral:ncRNA from 2 species